UAGGGAAUAUUAGAAAUGGACGAAAGUCUGAUCCAGCAACACCGCGUGUGCGAAGAAGGCCUUCGGGUCGUAAAGCACUUUUUGGAAGGAAUAGGAAGGAAUGUACUUCCAGAAUAAGCCUCGGCUAACUACGUGCCAGCAGCCGCGGUAACACGUAGGAGGCGAGCGUUAUUCGGAUUUACUGGGCGUAAAGCGCGUGCAGGCGGCUCGAUAAGUUGGAUGUGAAAGCUCCUGGCUUAACUGGGAGAGGUCGUUCAAAACUAUCAGACUUGAGAGUGGUAGAGGGAGGUGGAAUUCCGCAUGUAGUGGUGAAAUGCGUAGAUAUGCGGAGGAACACCAGUGGCGAAAGCGGCCUCCUGGCCCAUUUCUGACGCUCAGACACGAAAGCUAAGGUAGCAAACA
rnacentral:rRNA from 1 species